rnacentral:lncRNA from 1 species
UAGGUUUCCAUAAGACUGUAGAUUAAACAAAAUCGACGCCAAAUAGUCUAAAACGACAUGUAACAAUACCCGAAACGACAAUUCAUCAAAAGAAAAGCAUGAGACCUAGGUGUUGGUAGCCCUGGUGUAGAUCUGCUGGCUGGCGUGAGCAGAGACCAUCCUGAUCAAGCCUCUGGCCAUCAACUCCCUGAUGGCCCUCCUUGCCAGCGAGCCGUUGAUCCUGAGACGGUCGGAGAGAAUGGACGGUGUGAUGAGCUUGUACUUGGGUGCCUCGGUGAGGAGCUUGUCGUAGGUUCCCUGGUCGAAGAGCACCAUGUUGUUCACCUUCUCCUUCUGCUUUCCCUUGCUCCACUUCUUCUUCUUCUGCUUGCCUCCGCCGGACUUCGCCGGCUUCGACGACGGCGGCGGUGCCUUGUCCUUCUUC